UACGAAGGGGGCGAGCGUUGUUCGGAAUUACUGGGCGUAAAGGGCGCGUAGGCGGCCGAUCAAGUCAGAUGUGAAAGUCCUGGGCUUAACCUGGGGACUGCAUUUGAUACUGAUUGGCUUGAAUGCAGGAGAGGAUAGCGGAAUUCCCAGUGUAGAGGUGAAAUUCGUAGAUAUUGGGAAGAACACCGGUGGCGAAGGCGGCUAUCUGGACUGUGAUUGACGCUGGAGGCGCGAAAGCCGUGGGGAGCAAACAGG
rnacentral:rRNA from 1 species